GCCUAUGACCAUACCAUCCUGAAUAUGCUUAAUCUUGUCUGAUCUCAGGAGCUAAGCAGGGUCAGGUCUGAUUAGUACUAGAGGCUGCCUAGAAAUAAUGGGUGCUGCAGGAU
rnacentral:rRNA from 1 species